UACGAAGGGUGCAAACGUUGCUCGGAAUUAUUGGGCGUAAAGCGCACGUAGGCGGUUUUGUGUGUCGGAUGUGAAAACCCUCGGCUCAACCAAGGAAGUGCAUCCGAAACUACAGGACUUGAGUACAGAAGAGGAUCGCGGAAUUCCCGGUGUAGAGGUGAAAUUCGUAGAUAUCGGGAGGAACAUCAGUGGCGAAGGCGGCGAUCUGGGCUGAUACUGACGCUGAGGUGCGAAAGCGUGGGGAGCAAACAGG
rnacentral:rRNA from 1 species